rnacentral:tRNA from 1 species
UUUAAUAUGGCAGAUAAGUGCAUUGGAUUUAAGACCCAAAUAUAAAGUUUAAAUCUUUUAUUAGAA